GGGAAUCGCCUGUGAGCAUGCUGGUCGUCAGCGCGAUAGCCACACACAGCGGCAUUGAGCAGCACAAUGUGGUCAGGCAGAGGAAAUCAGAGGAGCACUCGUAACGCCUUCCCCUCCUGGACUUGACGUCGUUGGGGCUUUGAUGUGCUGCAGAACUAGUCGACCCUCCAAGCAUGAAUCAGUAGUCUCCUCAAAUCAACAGCGCUACAGGGUCCAGGACAGAGGUCAGAGCCGGCCCAGAGGACCAGGAUGUUCACCGGCUCCACCAAGAACCCCCCCGCCAAGACCCCCCAGCCUGACAGGCUGGAUGAGGUCUACGCAGCCCUGCGACGCGGCCUGCAGUGAGUCCACACACACACAUAGACGCACACGCAGACACACACACACACACACACAUACGCAGACUUACACGCACACACACAGAGACACACAGACACACUAACAGAUGCACGCACACACACACACGCAGACUUACACGCACAAACACAGACACACACAGACACACAAACAGACACACGCACACACAAACACACACGUGUGGACACAUACACACACACAAACAGACCCACACACACACACGCACAAUAUACACACACACACACACACACACACACACAGACACACACAUUGAAACAGACUCACACAGACACAUAUACACCAGGGAUGGAAAUGAACACCCGCCACACGCCAUUUGCGGGUGGAUUUGUAUGGUGGCGGGUGAAUUGUGUCACUUCACCCGCAACUGUGUCGGGUAAUACUUUCCAGUCAGGUCCGAUCAAAUUUGCAUAUUCAAUACAUUCGUCAUACGGCGCUGCACAGUUCCACAACCAUUACUGUCAACAUCCGUCCUCCUUCUUCUUCUACGCCUCUCUUGCUGAACUGCGACUGUCAACAUCCGGGAUAAUAUACCGGUAACUAACAGCUCUCAAGUCUCACGCAUUCGGCGUGAGACACACGCAAUUCGGAAGAAGACGAUGGGUGGGUCGCAUAUACUUCGUCAUCGUCUUGCCGUCCCUCCCCGUUCUGUGAUUGGUUCCCGAACUCAGGCAAAAAUCGGAUCCAUGGAAUCCAGGCUGCCUCGCAGUGCGAAAUGAAAUCGCGCGCAAGGCAGCAUGGGUAUAGCCAGGCUAUUUCGGAGGCGGGACACGUUCAGAAUUCCAUUCAUAAAUUAACAGACGUGACUGUGACGUGAAUUGUCUGGCUGGCUGAAAUUUGAGAGGGGUUCUGGAAGUGUCCAUGGUAAGAUCUGUGUAACCAACAAGAGAGAGGUGUGAUCAGUUAAGCAUGACGAAGGAGAAGUGUAUGGAAGUAAAUCUGAGGCUUCAAUAAAAUCCCGGACGAUUUUGAAAUUCCGCAAAACAUUGUCUCAAAAAGAGGGCAUGACCGGGCAAAAGAGGACGUAUGGUUAGGCCUUCCCUACGUACGGGA
ensembl:lncRNA